CUCAUGCUGCUCUCUAUCCUUUUGUGCGGUAUCAUCUGCUCCCUCGGGUUGCAUUACAUAAUACGUUGUGCAUUUAUACGUUCUCGAAGUUUCAUGAUCUCUGAUCCCAUCUCUAUCCCAUCCACACCAAGAGAUUCAUCAGUAAACAAAGGGAUCAAGAAGAAAGCUCUCAAGAUGUUACCAGUUGUGAAUUACUCACCUGAAAUUAACCUGCCAGGGGUCGGUGAAGAGUGUGUCAUCUGCUUGUCUGAUUUUGUUGCUGGAGAACAGCUACGUGUACUUCCCAAGUGCAACCAUGGAUUCCACCUUCGCUGCAUCGACAAAUGGCUUACGCAACAUAUGACUUGUCCGAAAUGCAGACACUGUCUGGUUGAUACAUGCCAAAAAGUCUUAAGUGACUGCGAUGCAGCUGAUCAAGUGGCAGCGACAGCAACGGAGAGCAUAGAUAUCAGAAUUUCUCCUCUAGAACCUGAAGCAAGAGUAGCCACUUUUAGAGAAAGCAGCUAGAGUAUGCCAACAAAACAAUCAUAAUUUCAAAUUUUGGCUCUCCAGCAAGAUUAUAGUUUCUUUAUGUCACUAGCCAUAGGAUGUCAAAAUCAAACACAGCAGAGUUUUUUUUUUGCCUUUUGUUUUUCUCAAAGAGUACAGAACAUAUACCUUAAGCUUUCUGUGGCAUCAUACGUUCAUCAGAAUUAUCUGAAUCUCUACUUCUUUGCAAUACUCACAGCCAAGACUGACAAUCGAAAUUGUCAUCUGCCAAGAAGCUUUUCAGAAAUUUCCUCUGCAUAUUCAAAUCACAAUCACAGAGUAGAACUAGUAACUAAGGUCUGGAAAGAAAUGGUUUCAAUGAAGCUUUGGGCACCAAGACCAAGGUGCAUGAAGAAGCAGUACUAAGACUACAGAAUGUGAUCUCAGUCUGACCUAAUCGGUUACAUAUCUAUUCACUCACUCACCAACUUGGUAGACUAACACCAUCAAUAGCCCCAUUUGACCCACAGUGAGUUAUUUGGUUAAGAAUAAAUAAGGGAUUCUUCGUCGCAAUGAUAAAGAAAUGAACUCAGUGUGUUUGGAAAGAGUAAUGGACCCAACACAUAACAAGGUCAAACUAAUCCACCUAAGUAUGUGGGUAGAAGUCAAACCUAAAAGCUACUUUGAGGAAUGCUUAUAGUAUUUUAAGAUAUCAGGCAACACCAACAUGGUAUAAGAUCAUAAUGGAAAGCUCCACUUUAACAAUCAAUCAUUUUUCUAUAACAAGAAGGAGCUGCUAAAGUGAUAACACAUGUCCAUUGGCAGAUGUACCUAUGCUAACACAUCUCUAUUGGCAAUAAUCUGCAAUUACCACACUCAAAAUCCAAAUAGUAGUCAUUUAAAACCAAGAUAAGAGAACAAAACAUUUCCAUCCAAUCUAAAGAACAUGGCUAGAUUGCCAAGAUCUAUAUAAUUCAAUGAAGUCUAGAAUUUACCUCAACUGAGAGAAGUUGAAGCCUAUCGACUUGAUACAUAGCUUGAUAUGUAUCCCCAUCUUUAACAAUUUCUCUGAAUAUCAAACUCCCCAUCCUGAAACUGAAGCAAAUCCGAGUCAUGCUAAAAUAAAGUUGGAAUCCACAAUCCUGAGUAAACUACUGAUAACUGAUUUAACUAUGAGCAGAAUGCUGAGAUUAUUUUUCAAUGUCACUGUGAGAUCUUGGAAAUCUGAAUUUUAAAAUGGAACAAGAUUUCAUAAACAAAAAGAGCUCCAGAUAGAUCUUAAAGAUCCUAGUCACUUGUGAUUGGAGUGAAAUAGAUAAAGUGCAAGAAAAAAAUA
rnacentral:lncRNA from 1 species